AUUGAACGCUGGCGGCAGGCCUAACACAUGCAAGUCGAGCGGAGCGGCGGACGGGUGAGUAAUGCCUAGGAAUCUGCCUGGUAGUGGGGUAUAACGUCCGGAAACGGGCGCUCAUACCGCAUACUAUCAGAUGAGCCAAGGUCGUAUUAGCUGGUUGGUGGGGUAAAGGCCUACCAAGGCGACGAUCCGUAACUGGUCUCAGAGGAUGACCAGUCACACUGUAACUGAGACACGGUGGAGAAUACUACGUGGGGGAGCAGUGGGGAAUAUUGGACAAUGGGCGAAAGCCUGAUCCAGCCAUUCCGCGUGUGUGAAGAAGGUCUUCGGAUUGUAAAGCACUUUAAGUUGGGAGGCGUUACCAACAGAAUAAGCACCGGGUAACUUCGUGCCAGCAGCCGCGGUAAUAC
rnacentral:rRNA from 1 species